rnacentral:tRNA from 2 species
GGGGAUUUAAACCGUAGGGGUAGCGGGCCUGACUGUAAAUUAGGUAUCAUUGUGAUCCGGGUGGUUCGACUCCAUCAAUCCCCA